rnacentral:piRNA from 1 species
AAAUGCUUAGAGUGGACUAUUAAGU